rnacentral:rRNA from 1 species
AGAGUUUGAUCCUGGCUCAGAUUGAACGCUGGCGGUAUGCUUAACACAUGCAAGUCGAACGGNAGGCACUUCNGUGCUGANAGUGGCGGACGGGUGAGUAACGCGUANGAAUCUGCCCUGNNNUGGGGGACAACGUGGGGAAACCCACGCUAAUACCGCAUACGCCCCAAGGGGGAAAGCGGGGGACCGCAAGGCCUCGCGCUAUANGAUGAGCCUGCGUUGGAUUAGCUUGUUGGUAGGGUAAAGGCCUACCNAGGCGACNAUCCAUANCUGGUCUGANAGGACNAUCANCCACNCUGGGACUGAGACACGGCCCANACUCCUACNGGAGGCAGCANUGGGGAAUAUUGGACAAUGGGCGCAAGCCUGAUCCANCAAUACCGCGUGUGUGAAGAAGGCCUGAGGGUUGUAAAGCACUUUCAAUGGGGAGGAAAAAGCGCAGGUUAAUACUCUGCGUAUUGACNUUACCCAUACAAGAAGCACCGGCUAACUCCGUGCCANCANCCGCGGUAAUACGGAGGGUGCAAGCGUUAAUCNGAAUUACUGGNCGUANNGCGUGCGUANGCGGNCUGUUAANUCANAUGUGNAAGCCCCGGGCUCAACCUGNGAACGGNNUUUGANANUGNCANGCUNNAGUUGGGUAGAGNGGAGUGNAAUUUCANGUGUNNCNNUGAAAUGCGUANAUAUCUGAANGAACACCNNUGNNGAAGGCGGCUCCCUGGACCCAAACUGACGCUGAGGUACNAAAGCGUGGGNAGCAAACAGGAUUAGAUACCCUGGUAGUNCACGCCGUAAACGAUGUCGACUAGCCGUUGGGCCCUUCUAGGGCUUAGUGGCGCAGCUAACGCAUUAAGUCGACCGCCUGGGGAGUACGGCCGCAAGGUUAAAACUCAAAUGAAUUGACGGGGGCCCGCACAAGCGGUGGAGCAUGUGGUUUAAUUCGANGCAACGCGAAGAACCUUACCUACCCUUGACAUCCUNNNNAUCUGUNGGAGACAGCGGAGUGCCUUCGGGAACUUAGAGACAGGUGCUGCAUGGCUGUCGUCAGCUCGUGUUGUGAAAUGUUGGGUUAAGUCCCGUAACGAGCGCAACCCUUAUCCUUAGUUGCCAGCGGGUCAAGCCGGGAACUCUAGGGAGACUGCCGGUGAUAAACCGGAGGAAGGUGGGGACGACGUCAAGUCAUCAUGGCCCUUAUAGGUAGGGCUACACACGUGCUACAAUGGCCGGUACAGAGGGCAGNGAACUUGCGAAAGUGAGCCAAUCCCACAAAGCCGGUCCCAGUCCGGAUCGGAGUCUGCAACUCGACUCCGUGAAGUCGGAAUCGCUAGUAAUCGCGGAUCAGAAUGCCGCGGUGAAUACGUUCCCGGGCCUUGUACACACCGCCCGUCACACCAUGGGAGUGGGUUGCAAAAGAAGUAGGUAGUCUAACCGCAAGGAGGGCGCUUACCACUUUGUGAUUCAUGACUGGGGUGAAGUCGUAACAAGGUAACC